UGAAGAUGAAGUCCAAUCAACUUGAAACUUAUUACAUAUGUUCCCUAUGAUAUGAUCUUUCUAAUUUUAAUGCCAAUUUAGAGUUUUUACCCCAAUUUCAUGGUCCACCAAACAUAGAAAAUGAUAGAGCAGGGCAUCCAUGUACUAUGGACACAUUCUUGUUUACUUAUAUGUCAAAAUAUUUUAUUUUUGUUCUCUCAGCAUUAAUUUACAUGCAAAGAACAUAUUUUUCUUGUAUGAUAGGCUUGUGAUAUGUGCAGGACCAUGAGAGAUUACCUUAAGCUUGAACAUUGACCUUGAAAGUUGAAUAAUUUUACCAAUACACCCUAAUACCAUAUCAUAUAUUCCUACAUUCUACUGCAAGACCAUCUUAAUGCAUCUAAGGAUUUCCCAAUGUAAAAGGUCACGAUGAUACAGAUAAGGAUGAGUCAUUAUUUUUCAGCCCACUAAAAAG
rnacentral:lncRNA from 1 species